GUGGUAACGAGAGCCAGAUGUGGACAAUGAUAUAAUAUCGUAGAUCAUCUAAACGAGAUUGAUUCUCUCGCUUGAGCUGAUACGGCAAAAAUGAGAAAAGCAAUCGAGAUGAGUUGACAAAUGAUAAUUAUCGCUAUUUUAUCUAUGACAACGUUGUUAUUUUCAUUGACAAUGAGUACGUAUGAUAAUUUUUCACAUUAC
rnacentral:lncRNA from 1 species